rnacentral:lncRNA from 1 species
UAUUACAAUAGGAAAAUUUUAAAAGGUAUACUGUUUUUCGGGACACCCUGUAGACCGAAAACUAGCUGUACGCUCCAGUGAUCGGAAUGUUCUAUUGUCUUUUCAUUGUUUUCCAUGUCGUCCAGUCACUCAUUGUUUUGUAAUAUUCAUAUUGUUAGAGAGGUUCAGAUUUGACUCCCACUACCGCUACCAUUAAGGGAGCAUUAACCAAUCAGAUGCGUUUGAUAUAUCCGAUUAACCAAUCAGAUGCGUUUGAUAUAUCCGAUUAACCAAUCAGAUACUGUACUUACUGAGUCAGUGAGAGGUAGUUGUAGCGGUGUCAAAUCUGGACCCCUCUCUUUUAAAAACAAAAAAAUAAAUAAACUAAUAUUUACGCAAUGAUGUAGUAUUACAACUACAGGGUGUAUAAAAAACACAAGACCUUUAGAAAUCAAGCGCUUCUUGAAAUUUGUAUAGGUCAUUUUGAGGCAACGAGGGGAUAUGUGAUUUAUUCACCGAGGCGCGCAGCGCCGAGGUGAAUAAACACAUAUCCCCGAGGUGCCUCAAAAUAACGUACUUAUUUUUCACACUGCGAGGUCGCGUUAAUGAGUCAGGAAAGAAAUAAUUCUUAAUGCCAUAUUGCCUUCGCGAUGUUGUUUUUUUCUCAUUUUUUGUGCUGCAAAGACAUUGCAGGUGAAUAUUAGAGGGGAUUAUUAAUUGCAGGUGAAUAUUAGAGGGGAUUAUUAAACGGAAAUUGAUUAGAGGGGAAUAUUGAAUAUAUUCCCCGACAAGAACAAAGGAAACCGAGCAGGGUGAAAAAUAAGAAUGUAUAUAGCACUUUGUUGAACCCACGGGCCACGGCUGGGAAUUUAAAGCAGUUCUUAACCAGUUUCUUUAUGCAUAACAUUUACUUAUGUCAAGCUUUUAUGCACUUGUAGGUUCAGCAAAGUGCCGAGACAUUCAAAUUCUAACAAUAUACGCUAUUUCAAUAGUUUUGGGACACCCUGUAGAAGUGAAUUUUAUGCAUGACGAAGUUAUUUACUCUAAUGUGGUUUCGUCCAACAUAUGAAUUGUGUGCUGAUUAAUUUAACGCAGCGACGUAAAACAGUAAAAACUCGUUCUCAGUGGACCUUUCCCUUUAUAUAACUAAAAUUUCGAUCUAGACAAGAAUUUCAUCACAGCUUGAAAGAGCAUCACAAAAUUAGUAAUAUUCCAAAGUUUUGUUGCAAAAUCUUGUAAAAUGCGGA